UCCGAAGAGGAAGGUGCGUUAAAUGUAUACUCAGUGCAUUUAAACAAAAGUAUACAUUUCUUUCGAGAUUAAUUAACAAUCAAUUAAGUAUCGAGGCGAUCGCUUUGCGCACGCAAUUACGUUCGCGUAAUAUCGUAAAGAAAAAUCAAACUAAUUACGAGGAGGUUGGAGGUGUCUGGUUAAAUAAAGAAGGGUGUUAGGAAAGAGGAAUGGUGACUCGCUUAGGGGUAGCCAAUAGAAACGGAAGUGCAGCUGACAAAGCGUCGCGUGUUGUGCGGAGCAAACGACACAACGGUCCUUGUCGCUUGGAUAAGCGCAUUAGUCCCGACUAGCGUAAUUAAAAGUGUUACGUGACAACGACUCGGAAUUGUCGGUACCUAUCGGUGAGUUUGCAUUUUUCGACAAUAACAAUAUUUUCUCUAUUUCUCUCUCUCUCUCCCUCUCUUUCUAUUUUUCUCGUUUUCCAGGCUUAUGGGCACGUUUUAUGCGAGGAUUUGUUGAUUCGAGAAGAAAAAACAACGAGCAUGACAAAUAGUUUAUAUAGAGUGUUGUUAAAAAAAGAAUUUUAUGAGAGAUGUUAUAAAUAUUUAAAUUUUUUCUAUAUUCUUAUGUAUAUAUACAUAUAUAUAUUGAUUUAGUUUACUUAUGUACUAAUACAGUGGAAUCUCCAAUAUCCGACGAUCUGGUAUACGAAAAUUCUACUAUUCGCAUGUAAUACUAUCUAAACACUUUAUUAUCCGAACACUGUAUAUAUACUUUUCUACUCGUGUAUUAUCUACUAUCCAAACAAAUAAUCUACGUCAUAGUUCGUUCAGUUUGAAAUUUAUAUUGAUACGCAUUUACAAUUCAUUGUAUAAUGAUAUCAAAAAGCAAACUUGUAAUAUUAACAAUAUAAGUACUAUUUAAAUGAACAAAUAAAUACUCUAUAAAUUACAAAAUGAUGAAAAUGUAGUACGAAAUUGUGUGUUACGUUAAACGAAAUAUACUUUCAUUCGAAUCAA
rnacentral:lncRNA from 1 species